UUGUGCUUGCUUUGGCACUAUAAUACUAAAAUUGGAAUGAUACAUAGAAGAUUAGCAUGGCCGCUGCGCAAGCAUGACAUGCAAAUUGUGAAGUGUUCCACAUAUUU